rnacentral:rRNA from 1 species
CCUACGGGAGGCAGCAGUGGGGAAUUUUGGACAAUGGGCGAAAGCCUGAUCCAGCAAUGCCGCGUGAGUGAAGAAGGCCUUCGGGUUGUAAAGCUCUUUUGUCAGGGAAGAAACGGUGUUUUCUAAUACAGAAUGCUAAUGACGGUACCUGAAGAAUAAGCACCGGCUAACUACGUGCCAGCAGCCGCGGUAAUACGUAGGGUGCAAGCGUUAAUCGGAAUUACUGGGCGUAAAGCGUGCGCAGGCGGUUUUGUAAGUCUGACGUGAAAUCCCCGGGCUCAACCUGGGAAUUGCGUUGGAGACUGCAAGGCUAGAGUUUGGCAGAGGGGGGUAGAAUUCCACGUGUAGCAGUGAAAUGCGUAGAUAUGUGGAGGAACACCGAUGGCGAAGGCAGCCCCCUGGGUCAAGACUGACGCUCAUGCACGAAAGCGUGGGGAGCAAACAGGGUUAGAUACCCUGGUAGUCCACGCCCUAAACGAUGUCUACUAGUUGUCGGGUCUUAAUUGACUUGGUAACGCAGCUACGCGUGAGUAGACCGCCGUCGGGAGGUACGGUCGCGAGAAGUUAAACGUAACGAAAGGAAGUUAGACGGCGUGAGACGUGCCGACGGACGACGACGAGGGAGGAGG